rnacentral:tRNA from 1 species
AGCCUUAAGGUGAUUUUCAUGUCGAAUUGCAAAUUCGAAGGUGUAGAGAACCCCCCCUCUACUAAGGCUU